AGGUGCCGCGCCUCGGCAGCGCCGCACGCCGGGGGUGUCUCCCUCCGUCCCCCGUGUGUCCUCCGGCAGAGCGGGGAGCCCCGCCGCCGCCUCAGACUCGGUCCCGCACUGCCCCCCGCCCGGCACCCUGCGCCGCUGCCGCGUCGCCUCACGGCGCGCCCGGGCCGCCCCCGCUCUAUUUGCUGCCCCCGCCGCCUUGCUGCCGGGCGUCUGAACCCCGACCGCGGCCGUGCAGCAGAUCCUGACCUGAAAGGGAGAGAUCUAGCCUAAUUUGAAUGACGGUGUGAGAGAAGAGAGUAGCAUGGCAAUUGCUGCAGUACUGUCUGUACCCUGUUUGGUAACUUUUUCCUGACAAAAUAUCCCUUAUCAGGGAUCUUGACUGAGGGAAGGUCACAAGCAUUAAAACUUUGGAAGGACAAACAUUUAUAGAGUUUCCAAGGUACGCAUGUUCAGCUGUCAGCACAUUAGCCACCUGCUGAUCUCCAGCCCACUGAAAUCUGUUGGAUAACAAGGGAUCACCUGAGACACAACGUACCAGCCUGUCUUAGAAAAUAUUCUGUGCAAACCGACCUGUAUUGGAUGUGGGAAGUCAAAAUGUGAUGAUGUCAUAGCAUGUAAAUUAUUCCUCUGAAUGAUUCUAUGGAGAAAGAUGCUAUAAAGUCAAGGAGAGUGAAUGUAU